UGCGUAGGCGGGCUAAUAAGUCAGUGGUGAAAUCUCUCGGCUCAACCGGGAAACUGCCAUUGAUACUGUUAGUCUUGAGUUCGGUUGAGGUAGGCGGAAUGUGUAUUGUAGCGGUGAAAUGCUUAGAUAUUACACAGAACACCAAUUGCGUAGGCAGCCUACUAGACCGACACUGACGCUGAGGCACGAAAGCGUGGGGAGCGAACAGGAUUAGAUACCCUGGUAGUCC
rnacentral:rRNA from 1 species